rnacentral:tRNA from 1 species
GCGGGGGUAAUUCAAGGGUAGAAUGCCACCCUUCCAAGGUGGACGUUGCGGGUUCGAAUCCCGUCCCCCGCU